rnacentral:rRNA from 1 species
GAUGAACGCUAGCUACAGGCUUAACACAUGCAAGUCGAGGGGCAGCAUGACGAUAGCUUGCUAUUGUUGAUGGCGACCGGCGCACGGGUGAGUAACGCGUAUCCAACCUGCCCUUGUCCACCGGAUAACCCGUCGAAAGGCGGACUAACACGGUAUGCAGUCCACAGCAGACAUCUAACGUGGACGAAAUGUGAAGGAGAAGGAUGGGGAUGCGUCUGAUUAGCUUGUUGGCGGGGUAACGGCCCACCAAGGCGACGAUCAGUAGGGGUUCUGAGAGGAAGGUCCCCCACAUUGGAACGGAGACACGGUCCAAACUCCUACGGGAGGCAGCAGUGAGGAAUAUUGGUCAAUGGGCGAGAGCUUGAACCAGCCAAGUAGCGUGCAGGAAGACGGCCCUAUGGGUUGUAAACUGCUUUUAUACGGGGAUAAAGUGAGUCACGUGUGGCUUAUUGCAGGUACCGUGUGAAUAAGGACCGGCUAAUUCCGUGCCAGCCGCCGCAGUAA